GAUGAACGCUGGCGGCGUGCCUAAUACAUGCAAGUCGAGCGAACAGACGAGGAGCUUGCUCCUCUGACGGUAGCGGCGGACGGGUGAGUAACACGUGGAUAACCUACCUAUAAGACUGGGAUAACUUCGGGAAACCGGAGCUAAUACCGGAUAAUAUAUUGAACCGCAUGGUUCAAUAGUGAAAGACGGUUUUGCUGUCACUUAUAGAUGGAUCCGCGGCGCAUUAGCUAGUUGGUAAGGUAACGGCUUACCAAGGCGACGAUGAGUAGCCGACCUGAGAGGGUGAUCGGCCACACUGGAACUGAGACACGGUCCAGACUCCUACGGGAGGCAGCAGUAGGGAAUCUUCCGCAAUGGGCGAAAGCCUGACGGAGCAACGCCGCGUGAGUGAUGAAGGUCUUCGGAUCGUAAAACUCUGUUAUUAGGGAAGAACAAAUGUGUAAGUAACUAUGCACGUCUUGACGGUACCUAAUCAGAAAGCCACGGCUAACUACGUG
rnacentral:rRNA from 1 species